ACCACCUGCCAGACCGGUCAGAUUUAGGAGAGCACCUAAAUGGACUAAGGACUUUGUCUUAUCAAUUGCUGCCAGCUGUUUGAGAUAGUGUCAGCACUGGCCAACAUCUCACAGCCAAAAUGCACAUUGACACGAACAAAACAGGAAACCAUAGAAACCUUGAGCUCUUUCAUGUAAGGUCAGUUUGAGACACAGUCAAACACAGAUAUCUGUAACACUGACAUACCUGCUGAAGACUGAAUUUGGCAGGGUGCAAAGAAAACACUGUCUUUCAUAGACUGUACUAAAUGUGUUAACUCGAGUGUCACCUCCGUUGCGAAUGGCUUGGUGUGUUGGAAAGAAGUGUUUAAUUUUCCAUCCUAACCUCAUGUAAGCAAUUACAUUUCCUGAAGUGCAGCAUAAAUGAACUCAAUGCAUCUUGGAAUCUUUGUAUGCCUCCACCUGCUACUGGCCCACAAACGUCUGAAAGUACAUUCCCAAAGGCCAAUGUCAGAGUGAUAAAGAGUUGUGACCUGUGGAGAAGAACCCGCUGACCUCAAUCGCUGUGGUUGCUUAGAGACUUUUGCUCUCUGUCUCUUCUUAUCAGUCUGUUUUCCCAUAGUUUAUAUUUAUGGAGACAUGCUCACACCCAAGAAACCUUGUCUUUGGGAGCCUGAGUGUGAGGACUGGGCGUCAGCUAUGGGGAGGAGGAUCCUGGGACAGGAACCAUUGAUUUCUUUGGUUUAAGGGCUCUUAUUCUUCCUU